ACCACAGAGGUGCGGAAAAUGAUGUCCUGGGGGAGUUGCAUCACAUUUCUCAUGUCUGGGGGAGUUAAGAAAUCACCUCUGCAGAGAUGUUCUGGAGGAACAUUUAUUCUGGCCUGUUUUCUACAAUCCUCUCGGGAAAGUUAAACUGGCUAAUGAGCACUGGACUAGGAGACGGUGUCAAAUCCCGCCUCUGCCAUCUUCUUCUUCUUGUUUUACCUGCAAAUGUCUCAUUUUCCACUGCAACUGCUUGCAGCUGUAUCCCUCCACAAAUGGAAACAGAAUGCUCGCAGCAACCACCACCAAACGUAUAA
rnacentral:lncRNA from 1 species